UACGUAGGGAGCAAGCGUUGUCCGGAAUCAUUGGGCGUAAAGCGCGCGUAGGCGGCCCGGUAAGUCCGCUGUGAAAGUCCAGGGCUCAACCCUGGAACGCCGGUGGAUACUGCCGGGCUAGAGUCCGGAAGAGGCGAGUGGAAUUCCUGGUGUAGCGGUGGAAUGCGCAGAUAUCAGGAGGAACACCGAUAGCGAAGGCAGCUCGCUGGGACGGUACUGACGCUGAGGCGCGAAAGCGUGGGGAGCGAACAGG
rnacentral:rRNA from 1 species